CGGAUUCUCGAUUGGGGUUUU
rnacentral:miRNA from 1 species